UGAGUCCUCACUACAAUUUGGCAGCUAGUGUUCACCACACCCUGGUGUUCUCCACUUGCUGAAAUAUCAAAACGGCAGCUUUCCAGACAAAGUGAGGAUGGUUGGUUGGAGCACCAAAGGAUCCUUCCCUCUAAAAAGAGUUUGCUUUGAGGAACUGAACAUGUUCUUUUAAAAACUGCAUUUUAACACGUAAUGCUACUUAUAGUAGUUUGAAAUAUACACAACUUCUUGAAAAUACAGACUUUGCAAGGCACACCAAGACUGAGGGGAGGCUACCUUUAGAGUCAAGAGCAAUCACAUUGGGGACCCCAAAUUUUUUUUUUUUAGGUUUUCAGAAAGAUCAAUCGCAGGUUCGCUUUAAAUAAAAACAAAUGAAGUACCAAGAAAAGGAUGCAACCAAAAAAGUCUGAAAUACUAAGGCCACGACUGUGUUACUUCAAGGAGUCACCCUGCUUGUGGGUACUACCUCAUGGUUUCCCUGAAGGAUUACAUACCCUGCACUCUAAUGGAUUAUGGGAAAUAUGGGACUGUUUAUACUGAAGAACACACCCUGAUCAGGUAGAAAGUUCUCAUUUGUUAACAGUUUAAAAAGUCGAGGCAAUAUGGCUGAUUGAUAACAGAUAAUUACUAGGAACAAGAUAGAUUUUAGAAAAAAAUCUGAUUUCCUACUAAUAGGGAAAACAAUCUCAAUUUCUAUUCUGCUCAUAUACAAUUAACAGGAAAUAUAGAAUAUUCCUUCUGUAUACAGAGGUAAGACCCAAGGAACUGCAAUAAAGCAAAGUGUCACAUAUGAGAGCCUACUUGCCCAUUACACAGAGAAGCUGAAGAACCAAGGGCCUUUUCCCCAUCUGCCCUCAGCUCAAAUACAAGCACAUGACAGAAGUUCCACCAAUCGAUGCAUCCACCCUUGACUCUAAAUGGGGAGCAAAUGUUGCAAAAUAGGGACCUUCUACAAGGUACAUUCCCUGGUGACAACUGUUUCUGGAAAAACAGGGUUUCUGAGGUAACAACAGAAGCAGAACCAGUGGCAAAGUUCAGUCUACACUGCCAGCCAGCACUGUUUGUGAUACAGGGCAUGCCAAAGUGUUUGGUCAUAACAGCAGUAGUGACCUCAAUGGUUAAGUUCUGUGGCACGAUUUUGGCCAUUAUGCUUAGGUAGGUGACCCAAAAUCUGAUUCUAGAGCUCUUCUAGAGAUUCUGGAAGCUAUUCACUAUCACUUUCAAAUUUGACCGAUACACUUAACCUUAAUUUCUCUAUCAGUGAACUAAGGGUAAUACUGUAUACCUUGAAAGUAGCAGAGAGAAUUAAAUGAGAUAAUGUAUGUUUGUCAACCUCUCAGAAGAAAAAGGUCUGAGACCCCUUUGCAAACCCUAUGGAAGCUAUGGUUCUGCCUCCCACAAGGGCUUCUGACACCACCACAGUUCCAUCCUCAGUUACCAUGAGAGCCAUUCAGGAAAACAUACCCUUCUCCAGCCAUUUGGUGCCAAGGUAAUUCUACUCAUGCUAAGAGUUAGCAAAACUAGACAAUUCUAGACAAUUAGAGAGCGAAUGACACACUAGCUGCUCAGAAAGAUAGCCUGGGACAAAGAGAAGACCUCCACAGAAGAAAGACCAGCAGAGUGUUUGACAACUAGUGAGAAGGCUAAAAACUCAGCGAUAUGCACGCAACUCAGUGUCUUCAAAGCUCAUUUAAAAGGUUUGGAAGCGUUAAAAGGAAUGUUCUUAUACUCAAUUGAGCUCUGGUAGAAAUCCAAAGUUUUAAGUUAAGGAGUGACUGAUAAUGAAGAUCAGUGCGAUUUUUGUUCAUACUUCUCAAAACUUCCCUCUGUUUGCACCUCUUAUUUAAUACCAUUUAAUUUGGUUAGUUUGUAUGCUACUAUUUGGCCAACGUUUAUGCUUAGCUUUUCCAGUAAAGCACUGUAUUAUUUUCAGCAAGUCCAGAUGAAUGGAAAAGUAUGUCUCUUUCAGUCAGUGACUCCAUGAACUAAGCUCAGGAAACCUGUAAUGAAAGCAACAGCUGACAGUGGAUCUAAAUCGCUGGCUAAGUCCCUAGAAGCACACAGUCUCUCCAAGGACUAUGGCCCACCUCUUCCAGUGUGAUGCCAAGAACUGGGUCUUUGGAAUAUGACAGACUUGAGUGUAAAUCUCUGCAGAAAUUGAACAGGUUGUCUACACCAUGACACUGUCAUACCUAAGCAUUCUUACCUACAAAAUAAGGAUGACUGAAUACCUCCUUCAUAGGAUUCUUCUGAAGAUUAAAAAAGAAACUGCACAGACAGCAACUAGUGUAGCACUUGGCACAUGGUAAAGCAGGCAUUCAGCGAAUGAUAGGUAUUAUGCACUAUGCUUCUAAAAUUCUAGGCUUUGAGUUCAUUGUGAUUUUUUUUUUUCUACUAGCUUGUAAAACUCCUCAAGGGCAAAACUAGUGCCACAUCCAACUGCAUCUUACUUUUUCAUAAUUUCAACUCCCUGGACAGUCAAGAAAUGGGGAAAAUCACACAAAUUGGCCCACAGGUCCCCCAAAUAGUUAUUAUAAAUUUCAUGUGCUAAUGCCUAUGUAUUUUAGUAACAAGAAACCCCCAAAGGCUUACUGACUUUUAUUUUGUUUCCAAGGUGACAGGAGCAAAUUAGGAGGUGACUGCUACUUUCCAUCAGAAAAGGAAACAGGAAAAAAAUCAUAGAAAGUAAACAUACGCACAAGAUCUAUACGAAAUAGUAAACAAAAUAAAGUCUAGCAACCAAAGCUUCUGUUCUAAUUGAGAUAUUAGCAAGUAUUGAGUUAGAGACAAUGUUAAAAAAUACAGAGAGAAACGUACAAAGUUAAAAUGAUGGUGGUCAAAGUCCACUGACCAUAAUUGUUAAAAUUAGAAAGAAUCUUUGCACAAUUACCGCAAUUAUCUGUUGAGCCCUCAAUAAGUACAAAAUAUAUGCUACACAUAAGCCAUGCUGCUCACAUAAACUAAUCCUCCCCCAUUAACUCACUGAGGUAGGUAUUAGUAUCCUUAUUUUACAGAUUAAGAAAUCAGGGCUCAGAGGGGUGAAGCGACUCGCUCAAGAUCACAGGGCCAAUGUGUGACAUUUUCCAUCCCUGAACUAACUCCAAGUCUGUGCUCUUUUCCCAUAAUGCCACACUGCUCCUCCACACUCUUAUGAAUUGCAAGAAUUGAUUCUAAGUUAUAAAAGGGAUCCUUCUGCUUAAACAUAUAUAGUAAUGGAGAGUUCAUUAUUCUGCCAGAUAGCACAGGGUUUAUGAGCACAGACUUUUAAAUUUUCUUUAUUUUAGAGAGAGAGUGCACAAGCGGGGGGAGAGGAACAGGGUGGGAGUAGAGGGAGAGA